rnacentral:rRNA from 1 species
CCUACGGGUGGCAGCAGUGGGGAAUAUUGCACAAUGGGGGAAACCCUGAUGCAGCGACGCCGCGUGAGUGAAGAAGUAUUUCGGUAUGUAAAGCUCUAUCAGCAGGGAAGAAAAUGACGGUACCUGAUUCAGAGGCCCCGGCUAACUACGUGCCAGCAGCCGCGGUAAUACGUAGGGGGCAAGCGUUAUCCGGAUUUACUGCGUGAAAAGGGAGCGUAGACGGCAGCACAAGUCUGGAGGGAAAUGCCGGGGCUUAACCCCGGAACUGCUUUGGAAACUGCGACGCUAGAGUACAGGAGAGGUAAGUGGAAGUCCUAGUGUAGCGGUGAAAUGCGUAGAUAGUAGGAGGAACACCAGUGGCGAAGGCGGCUUACUGGACUGUAACUGACGUUGAGGCUCGAAAGCGUGGGGAGCAAACAGGAUUAGAUACCCGGGUAGUC